rnacentral:rRNA from 1 species
UACGGAGGGUGCGAGCGUUAAUCGGAAUUACUGGGCGUAAAGGGUGCGUAGGUUGUUUGCUAAGUUAUCUGUGAAAUUCCUGGGCUUAACCUGGGCAGGUCAGAUAAGACUGGUAGACUGGAGUAUGGUAGAGGGUAGUGGAAUUUCCGGUGUAGCGGUGAAAUGCGUAGAGAUCGGAAGGAACACCAGUGGCGAAGGCGGCUACCUGGCCUAAUACUGACACUGAGGCACGAAAGCGUGGGGAGCAAAC